rnacentral:rRNA from 1 species
AUACGUAGGUGACAAGCGUUAUCCGGAUUUACUGGGCGUAAAGGGCGUGUAGGCGGUCUUGCAAGUCAGAAGUGAAAUUCCUGAGCUCAACUCGGGCGCUGCUUCUGAAACUGCAGGACUUGAGUGCUGGAGGGGAUAGCGGAAUUCCUAGUGGAGCGGUAAAAUGCGCAGAUAUUAGGAAGAACACCGGUGGCGAAGGCGGCUAUCUGGACAGUAACUGACGCUGAGGCGCGAAAGCGUGGGGAGCAAACAGGAUUAGAUACCCUGGUAGCCCACGCCGUAAACGAUGAAUACUAGGUGUAGGGGGUAUCGACUCCCUCUGUGCCGCAGUUAACACAAUAAGUAUUCCGCCUGGGGAGUACGGCCGCAUGGUUGAAACUCAAAUGAAUUGGCGGGG